UGGGGAAUCUUGCGCAAUGGGCGAAAGCCUGACGCAGCGACGCCGCGUGAGUGAUGAAGGCCCUCGGGUUGUAAAGCUCUGUGGAGGGGGACGAAUAAGCGCUGGUCAAUAUCCAGCGUGAUGACGGUACCCCUUUAGCAAGCACCGGCUAACUCUGUGCCAGCAGCCGCGGUAAUACAGAGGGUGCAAACGUUGUUCGGAUUUACUGGGCGUAAAGCGCGUGUAGGCUGCUUCGCAAGUCGGAUGUGAAAGCCCUGGGCUCAACCCAGGAAGUGCAUUCGAAACUGCAGAGCUGGAGUCCUGGAGAGGAAGGCGGAAUUCUCGGUGUAGAGGUGAAAUUCGUAGAUAUCGAGAGGAACACCGGUGGCGAAGGCGGCCUUCUGGACAGUGACUGACGCUGAGACGCGAAAGCGUGGGGAGCAAACA
rnacentral:rRNA from 1 species